rnacentral:misc_RNA from 1 species
UAAAGUGCGAUAUGUAGUGCGAUUUGCAUGAAUCUGUGAGUCAUUGAAUCUUUGAACGCAACUUGCACCAGGCGACUGGUAUGUGCAUUUGAGAGUGGCGCGAUAUCUGAGCGAGUGGAGGAGAGGGGUGGAGUGUGGGGAGAGUAGAGUGGAGUGAGGAGUGAUCUUGAUCUUGAUCAUGACUUUUACACUCUGCCUGCCUGCCUGCUGCUGCUGCCACUCGCUCGAGGUGGCUCGUGUCAUCCACUUGAUUUGACUGGGCUGGAAGGAAGCAAGGAGUAGAGACGAGGACAGCUGCUCUGGGCUAAGCACACAGAGUCAGUGAUCCUCGGACCUACACAACCCUUAUCACUUAUCCCGCCUCAGGUGCGCAAGAGUACCCGCUGAACUUAA